rnacentral:rRNA from 1 species
UACGAAGGGGGCUAGCGUUGUUCGGAAUCACUGGGCGUAAAGGGCGCGUAGGCGGCCGAUCAAGUCGGGGGUGAAAGCCUGUGGCUCAACCACAGAAUUGCCUUCGAUACUGGUUGGCUUGAGACCGGAAGAGGUAAGUGGAACUGCGAGUGUAGAGGUGAAAUUCGUAGAUAUUCGCAAGAACACCAGUGGCGAAGGCGGGUCUCUGGACAGUUCCUGACGCUGAGGCACGAAGGCCAGGGGAGCAAACGGG